rnacentral:misc_RNA from 1 species
UGGCUCUCGCAUCGAUGAAGAACGCAGCGAAGCGCGAAAUGUAGUGUGAAUCGCAGAACAUUGUGGAUCAUCGAAUCUUUGAACGCACAUUGCGCCUCCCUUAACCGGGGGGCAUGCCUGUCUGAGCGUCAUUUAAACCUAUGGGCCCGAAUGGGUUCCGUGUUGGGCUUCGCCCCUCUUUGAGAGGCGUCGCCUUAAAGACAUCGGCUUUAUGGAGCGGACGGGAUCCUUAUGGACUGACCGUUUCAUGGCUGGAAUUUGACUCUGACUUGACCUCAGAUCAGGUAGGGACACCGCCUGA